UAGUAGAUACCACAUUUUAAUUUUAUCGAUAUGAGUUCUACAAGAUUACGUAAAUGUAAAAUAAUACGCAAGUGGAAAAAAGGAUGUAUAAAAAAAUCUAAGGAUACAAGUUACAUUUCAAUACGUGCCUUCAACAAAAAGGAUAAUAAGGCAUACUAUCAGCUUCAUAAUGAUGAUGCCAAAAAUACGACGAUUGACUUUGGUAAUUAUUAUUGCCUGGCUGAAAUAUCAAUGUAUCUGCCAGCAUGUAAAAGACCAAAAAUUGCUUUAGUUUGCAAGAAAUGGAAAAAAGGAUGUGUAAAAAAAUCUAAGUUUACAAAUCAAAAUUCACCACGUGCCUUCAACAAAAAGAAUAAUAAGACAUACUAUCAGCAUUAUGAUGAUGACGCCAAAAAUACGGCGAUUGACUUUGUUAAUGAUGAUUGCCUGGCUGAAAUAUUCACGUAUCUGUCAGUAUGUGAAAGACCAAAAAUUGCUUUAGUUUGCAAGAAAUGGAAACAGGCUUUUGAUCAUUCUUGGCAGAGUGUAAAAAAACUUGAAUUAACUCAUUGGGAAUAUAAUGAGUGUCCAAGUUAUUUAAAAAAAUAUACAGAACUUUAUGGACAAGUACGGUUUUUGAAAUUGCUGCUUGACAAGUGUGGUCGUUAUUUAACAGAAUUAGAUUUGUCAGCCCAUGGUUAUGAUUGCAUAGUGCCAAUUAUUAAUAAAUCUUGUCCAAACCUCGUAAAACUUCGUUUAAGAUUUAAGAAGUUAAUACAUUGAGAAGCGUUGCUGGUACAUUAACUGAACUGACUCUGUCAAAUUGGAAUGAAGAACAUUUAUAUAAACGCUUGAGAAUUCCAGAAUCAUUUAUUCAUAUUCUUCCUGAAUUAACGGCCUUGAAAUCAAUUGAAACUGUUGGCAUAUUUAUUGAUAUUGAUUUAUUCGUGCAUCUGGAAAAUUUGGGAAUAUUAGUCAUCAGUC
rnacentral:misc_RNA from 1 species